rnacentral:lncRNA from 1 species
UUCAAAAAAGAAUACUUGCUUUCCCUGGGCUGCUGAGGCCCAGCACACACAUACACAGCAGGACACAGAGAAAUAUGAGGUCUUUCAGCGCGGCAAGCUUGUGUCAUUUUUCACUGCUAGAAGAUGAAAUCUAAAUUCAUUAGCAAGGCACAAUUAAGUUCAUGCCUCUAUCUGAGGCCCAUUCACAGCUCCGCUUUACGCUUUGUCUUGGUAGUGGGCCGCCUUUGCCUGAAUGGAACUGGCAAACCUGUCCCAUUACUGGCAAGUCAUGAGAUAUCUGUAUCCUAAUUCCAUUCCAUCUGUACUCUGUUUGGAUUCUUUAGUGGCCAAUGCUAUCUACACAGUAGCUCUUUCAGCUAAUGGAAUAUUAGAAUUUCUGAUUUGUUCUGGUCUACCAUAAUUUCCUGGGAUAUCAGAACAACUUUUGCUGUAUUAUUCUAUGCAUCAAGCUGAUUAUAAUUUCACAUUUGGAUUUUAGUGGAG